rnacentral:rRNA from 1 species
GACGAACGCUGGCGGCGUGCCUAAUACAUGCAAGUCGAGCGGCAGCACGGUCUUCGGACUGGUGGCGAGCGGCGGACGGCUGAGUAACGCGUAGGAACAUGCCCCAAAGUGAGGAAUAACCGCCCGAAAGGGUGGCUAAUGCCGCAUGUGGUCUUCGGACUAAAGCUUUAUGCGCUUUGGGAGUGGCCUGCGUCCGAUUAGCUUGUUGGUGAGGUAAUGGCUCACCAAGGCGACGAUCGGUAGCUGGUCUGAGAGGAUGAUCAGCCAGACUGGAACUGAGAACGGUCCAGACUCCUACGGGAGGCAGCAGUAGGGAAUUUUCCACAAUGGGCGAGAGCCUGAUGGAGCAACGCCGCGUGCAGGAUGAAUGCCUUCGGGUUGUAAACUGCUUUUAUGUGCGAAGAAUUUGACUGUAGCACAUGAAUAAGGAUCGGCUAACUACGUGCCAGCAGCCGCCGUAA